rnacentral:rRNA from 1 species
GAUGAACGCUAGCGAUAGGCUUAACACAUGCAAGUCGAGGGGCAGCACAAGGUAGCUUGCUAUCUGGGUGGCGACCGGCGCACGGGUGCGUAACGCGUAUGCAACUUGCCCUAUACAGGAGGAUAACCCGUCGAAAGACGGACUAAUACUGCGUAUGCUCACAACUUGGCAUCAAGUGGUGAGGAAAGAAAUUCGGUAUAGGAUAGGCAUGCGUCCCAUUAGCUUGUUGGUGAGGUAACGGCUCACCAAGGCAACGAUGGGUAGGGGAACUGAGAGGUUUAUCCCCCACACUGGUACUGAGACACGGACCAGACUCCGACGGGAGGCAGCAGUGAGGAAUAUUGGUCAAUGGGCGCGAGCCUGAACCAGCCAAGUCGCGUGAAGGAGGACUGUCUUAUGGAUUGUAAACUUCUUUUAUACGGGAAUAACAAGAGUCACGUGUGACUCCCUGCAUGUACCGUAUGAAUAAGCAUCGGCUAACUCCGUG